rnacentral:lncRNA from 1 species
AUGGCAGACUUCAACCAUCCUGAUAUCUGCUGCAGGAACAACACAGCAAGGCACAAACAAUCCAGGAGGUUCCUGGAGAGCACUGAUGAUAACUUUCUGACACUGGUGGUGGAGGAGCCAACAAGGAAAGGUGCACUGCUGGGCCUUGUACUAACAAACAAAGAAGGACUGGUUGAAGAUGUGAAGGCUGGGGGCAGCCUUGGCUGCAGUGACCAUGAGAGGGUGGAGUUCAGGAUCCUGCCAGGAGGAAGCAGGACAGUAAGUAGGAUCACAACCCUGCACUUCAGGAGAGCAAACUUUGGCCUCUUCAGGGACCUACUUGGAGGAAUCCCAUGGCUUCGGGCGCUAGAAGGAAGAGGUGUCCAAGAGAGCUGGUUAAUAUUCAAGGAUCACUUCCUCCAAGCUCAAGAGCGGUGCAUCCCAGUGAGCAAGAAGUCAAGCAAAGGUGGCUUAACCAAUCUGAUAGCCUUCUAUGAUGGAAUGACUGGCUGGGUAGAUGAGGGGAGAGCAGUGGAUGUUGUCUACCUUGACCUCAGCAAGGCUUUUGACACUGUCUCCCAUAACAUCCUCAUAGGCAAGCUCAGGAAGUGCAGGCUAGACGAGUGGAGACUGAGGUGGAUUGAGAACUGGCUGAAUGGCAGAGCUCAGAGGGCUGUGAUCAGCGGCACAGAGUCCAGUUGGAGGCCUGUAGCUAGUGGUGUCCCCCAGGGGUCAAUAUUGGGUYCAGUAUUGUUCAGCUUAUUCAUCAGUGACCUGGAUGAAGGGACAGAGCGCACCCUCAGCAAGUUUGCUGACGACACAAAACUGGGAGGAGUGGCCAAUACCCCAGAAGGCUGUGCUGCCAUUCAGAGGGACCUGGACAGGCUGGAGARGUGGGCAGAGARGAACCUCAUGAAGUUCAAUAAAAGGAAGUGCAGAGCCCUGCCCCUGAGGAGGAAUAACCCCAGGCACCAGUACAGGUUGGGGACUGACCUGCUGGAAAGCAGCUCUGCCGAGAAGGACCUGGGAGUGCUGGUGGACACCAAGUUAAGCAUGAGCCAGCAAUGUGCCCUUGUGGCCAAGUGGUAUCCUGGGCUGCAUUAA